rnacentral:rRNA from 1 species
UACGAAGGGGGCUAGCGUUGCUCGGAAUCACUGGGCGUAAAGCGCACGUAGGCGGAUUGUUAAGUCAGGGGUGAAAUCCUGGAGCUCAACUCCAGAACUGCCUUUGAUACUGGCGAUCUUGAGUCCGGGAGAGGUGAGUGGAACUGCGAGUGUAGAGGUGAAAUUCGUAGAUAUUCGCAAGAACACCAGUGGCGAAGGCGGCUCACUGGCCCGGUAUGACGCUGAGGUGCGAAAGCGUGGGGAGCAA